CGCCACCGGGCCGAGCCGGGGCCGCCGGGCCGGGGCCGCCAUGGAGGUGGAGGAGGCGUUUCAGGCGGUGGGGGAGAUGGGCAUCUACCAGAUGUACUUGUGCUUCCUGCUGGCCGUGCUGCUGCAGCUCUAUGUGGCCACGGAGGCCAUCCUCAUCGCACUGGUGGGGGCCACGCCGUCCUACCACUGGGACCUGGCAGAGCUCCUGCCCAACCAGAGCCACGGCAACCGGUCGGCGGGUGACGACCACGCCUUGGGGGACUGGCUGCUGACUGCCAACGGCAGCGAGGUCCAGAAGCACGUGCACUUCAGCAGCACUUUCACCUCCAUCGCCUCGGAGUGGUUUUUAAUUGCCAACAGAUCCUACAAAGUCAGCGCAGCAAGCUCUUUCUUCUUCAGUGGUGUGUUCGUGGGAGUUAUCUCUUUUGGUCAGCUUUCAGAUCGCUUCGGGAGGAAAAAAGUCUAUCUCACAGGUUUUGCUCUUGACAUCUUAUUUGCCAUUGCAAAUGGGUUUUCCCCCUCCUAUGAGUUCUUUGCAAUAACUCGCUUCCUGGUGGGUGUGAUGAACGGAGGAAUGUCGCUGGUGGCCUUUGUCCUGCUGAACGAAUGUGUGGGCACCGCCUACUGGGCGCUCGCAGGAUCCAUCGGUGGCCUCUUCUUCGCGGUUGGCAUCGCCCAGUAUGCCCUGUUGGGAUACUUCAUCCGCUCCUGGAGGACCCUCGCCGUUCUGGUUAACCUGCAGGGAACAGUGGUCUUCCUCCUAUCUUUAUUCAUUCCUGAAUCACCUCGUUGGUUAUACUCCCAGGGUCGGCUGAGUGAGGCUGAAGCGGCUCUGUACCUCAUUGCCAAGAGGAACCACAAGCUCAAGUGUACGUUCUCACUAACACAUCCGGCCAGCAGGAGCUACAGGGAGACCGGAAGUUUCCUGGAUCUCUUCCGUUACCGGAUCCUCUUGGGGCACACGCUGACCCUGAUGUUCAUCUGGUUCGUGUGCAGCUUGGUGUAUUAUGGCCUCACUCUGAGUGCAGGUGAUCUCGGCGGAAAUAUUUAUGCCAACCUGGCCCUGUCUGGCCUCAUAGAGAUUCCUUCUUACCCUAUCUGCAUCUACUUGAUUAACCAAAAAUGGUGUGGCCGGAAGCGGACCUUAGCAGCAUUUCUGUGCCUAGGAGGACUGGCUUGUCUUAUUGUGAUGUUCCUUCCAGAAAAGAAAGACACGGGUGUGUUUGCAGUGGUGAACAGCCAUUCCUUGUCUCUGCUCGGGAAGCUGACGAUCAGUGCUGCCUUUAACGUGGUCUACAUCUACACGUCUGAGCUGUACCCCACAGUCAUCAGGAACGUUGGGCUUGGAACUUGUUCUAUGUUCUCCCGAGUUGGUGGGAUUAUUGCUCCCUUCGUCCCCUCACUGGUUGAAAUAUGUGCAGUGGUCCUUACCCUUCAUUGUCUUCGGAGCCACCGGCCUGACUUCGGGCCUCCUGAGUUUAUUAUUGCCAGAAACCCUUAACAGCCCAUUGCUAGAGACAUUUUCUGACCUUCAGGUGUAUUCAUAUCGGAGGCUGGGGGAGGAGGCGUUAUCUUUACAGACCUUGGAUCCCCCACAGUCUUCAGACAAGGAGAACACUUUAGGGAGUGAGAGUGAGGAAGAGGAGGAGUUUUUCGAUGCGGAUGAAGAAACACAGAUGAUUAAGUGAAGAGCCCCCGAGCCUCCGUCACAAGCAGAUGAUCUCCUUGCCUCUGGUCAAGGCAGGCUUUUCUGGGAAACUUCAGAGAGUUGUCGAAAUACAGGCUUGAACGUACAUGGAAGGUACUCCUUAUGGGCUCAUUGUUUUCAGGCACCAGGGAAGAUGGAGAAGACAUUGCAUGAGAGAAACAUCACCAUAUCAGGGGAACAGUCGUCCAGAAUUCACGUUCAGUUCAGAACCUUGACAUCUGGCCAGGUAGCUCAAAUCCACAUGCCGGAGGGGAAAGCUAAUUUGUUUCUGGAAGUCUGAUCGUGUUGCUUAUCUUUCCUCCUGACCUAAAGGCAGACAUGUAAAAUUUCUUCUCACCACACUAGUGGGAUAAGAGAAACCACCCUUCACAUCUCAUCUGAAUACCAUAUCUGACGCCUCCCCCUUACCAUUUGUGCCUCACUCACCAGGAAUCUCUUGAGGCAGAUUGGCAUUAGCAUUUCACUUUGGUGCCAGAGGAAAAGCACUGAGAGGUGACUGUGUGUGGCCCAAGGCCUCCAGCUUUACCCUAACUGAUGAAACCUGGGUCCUCAGCUUGGUUCCCAGGCUAAUGGUUGGCUUGAACUCCUUGUGCCGUUGGUCCCACAGACAAUCCACUCGGAAAAGCCAACUGUAUUGAAGGGAUUCUCUCAGAGCCAAAGGCGUGGCUGCAGCUGCUUGUUCACUCCCUUUGACACUCAACUUGGGUCAUUUCUUCAGUUACGACUUGUGUGCACCUCCAGGAAAAUUUCCAUCUCAGAUUCUAGUACCAGCAAUAACUUCAGAACUGUGUCAGUAAGUGACGAAGCUUUUAAAAAUGGAGGGCAGUUAAAAAAUGACAUGUUGAGGGGUGCCUGGGUGACUCAGGCAGUUAAGCGUCCGACUUUGG